AAGGAUCAUUAUCGUAACAAAAAAUGUGUUAGAGGCGUGCAAGGGCUGUCGCUGACUUUUAACGCAAAAGUCGUGCACGCCGGAGUGCGUCCUCUACACAUAAAAUCCAUCUCACCCUUUUGUGCACCACCGCGUGGGCACCCUUCGGGAUCAAACCGAUCCAGGAAGGGGGCUUGCGUUUUCAUACAAACCCCUUUUUAAAAGUGUAGAAUGACCCCAUUUUUUGCGAUAACACGCAAUCAAUACAACUUUCAACAACGGAUCUCUUGGCUCUC
rnacentral:misc_RNA from 1 species